rnacentral:rRNA from 1 species
UACGGGGGGGGCAAGCGUUGUUCGGAAUUACUGGGCGUAAAGGGCUCGUAGGCGGCCAACUAAGUCAGACGUGAAAUCCCUCGGCUUAACCGGGGAACUGCGUCUGAUACUGGAUGGCUUGAAUCCGGGAGAGGGAUGCGGAAUUCCAGGUGUAGCGGUGAAAUGCGUAGAUAUGCGGAGGAACACCGAUGGCGAAGGCAAUCCCCUGGACCUGUACUGACGCUCAUGCACGAAAGCGUGGGGAGCAAACAGG